UUUACUUGUGGCCAUCGACGGAAGUUGUUAACACCCAUCCUCGUGUUAUUCUUGGGCUGCAGUGAUCGAUCAAAAAAAAAAAAAAAAAAAAAACCCGAAUCCAAUUGCUUGGGCUAUGAAGUGCGACUAUCGGCAAUAGAGAAGGACGAGGCAAAGAAGAGCGCGAGAGAGAUUACAGGGUUCCGAUCGACUCCUAGUUUCCCUCGUGUGUGUUGUCGAUCAGCAAGGAAGGAAAAAAGAAAAAGAAAAAAGAAUCGAACGUGAGUUCAAUCGGCAGGCAAGGGGUGGAAGCACCAAAAUUGAAUCUCCAAUCGGGUGUUGGAAUCGACCUCUUAUAUUGGUAACUCCUUGAUUCCUCGUUCUUCAUAUAAUUAUUUUCCAAUUGCAUUCCAAUUUGUAUCAAUAAUCAUGACUUCUUUUACUUCCUCAUUAUGAUUUCUUGAGUGGACAAACUCCAGGUUUUAUGAGGUAUUUUAUUGAUUAGUUUUACUGUCAAAAUCCUCCUAUAAAUGCGCUUUUACAUGUUGGUGUUGUUGAUUGGGAGUUGGUAGGAUUGGUGAAGUCAAAUGCUCUCUUUUGGUGUCGCUACUCGCACUUCUUUUAUCUUCAAUUCUAAUGAUUUUAUGUGAAAGAAUAUGUUUUCAACUCUUUCGUAAGAUCCUCAAAAUAGUUUUCAAGUAUAUUCAAAUGUGUGAAUUAGUGGGAGAAAUUCAAACCCAAGUUGGUUUUCUCUUUUUAACAUCAUAUGUUUUCUUUCCUUUAAAGACAAUGAGCUUUGGACCAUGGUUGGAGGAUGAAACUAUCUUUUUCACCAGCUGGUCAGAAUUUAGCUGCAUUGAUAGGUAGUUUUGUAAAAAUCAUAUAAAAUUGUAGAAAAAUCGUUUGGACCUUUAAAAGUACUUUCUUAAAAGCUAAAAGUCUGAAAUUCUGGAAUAUGAAAUAAAAACAGAAUUUCUACAGGUCCAAAGUGUGCUAAAAUAGCUCUAAACAGGUGGCUGAUUUGGGUCCAAAACAGAGAAUUUUGCUUGUUAGGUGAUUUAUGUAUGUGGGUUAUGAAUUUGUCGUCUUUGGCAUUGUAGAACUCCAAUAACAUUUUUAUUUGAAUUGUAAUAGGGGAAAGGGUGAUACUUCAAUCUUCACAAGACUUGAAGUGUGAGUUGGUAACAUAUUUGGCAAAGGUGAGCCAACUUUGUGGUUUUUAAAAGUACAUUGUUAGGAGUAUCCCAUAUCUUAGAUGGAAUGGGAUGAACCCAGUAUUCUAGGAUGUAUGUGCCCUUUUGAUGAUUGAGUAUUGUGCCAUGAUGUUGAAAUAUUUUGUGUAAUUGUAUCUAGGAUGUUGUAUGCUAGACUCCUCUUUGUUUGGUGUGAGAUGUGAGCUAGGGUCAUGCUAGAUUGAGUGAAGUGUAUGAACAUUAUGUGACGUGAGCAUGUUAAUUCUUGUUUGAAUACUAAUAUGUAUAAUAAAUUACACAAGUUAUAAAAGUGAUUGGAAUAAAAUUAAAUAACUAACCAAAGAAUGAGUCUUUCAGCAUGUUUGUUCGAUAAUAGAAUUAAAAUCAACAAACACAAAUCCAUUCACCGGACCUGGAAAAUCCUCACAUUUUUUUAGAAUAGGUUUCCAAUUCAAAGUUAUGGUUUGUUUAUGACUCGUAUCACUAAAACCAUUAUUAACAACCGCCAUGUUGGGUUUUAUAAUGAUAUAAGUUGACAUUCCUUUAAAAGAUCACCAAAUCUGAAAUUUUUUUGAUUGAAAACACGAGAAUGCUUUUAUGUAUCCUGUUAAGUAAAAUAAAUAACAAUUAUAUUAUUGGUUGAAACAUAUGUAAUAUUGAAUGAAAUAUUAAAAAGAUACUACAACAAACCUCCUCAUCCAUGAGGAUCAUUUCAAUCGAUAAAACUAAAUUAUUCUUUAUAAAGUUUCACAUUCUUUACCACCCGAUACUUUGAUGUGUGAAUCAUAAUCAUUCUAUUCAAUGUUUUUUAGGGUAUACUUUACUACCUAUAUUCAUUUCCUGCAAACAUUUGAAAGCAUAUUGAAAUUGAAAGUUAAGUGUAUAUUACAUUGUUAAAAGAAAUAAAAUGUAGAGUUUCAGUUUAAUAAUUUGGAAAAUGGGAUCCUAUUUAAAAUUACACCCAUCUUUGACUUUCAUAUGAGAUUUUAUACCUUUAGUUAUCAUCAUUAUUUUUAUCCUCAUUGACCAAACGAUGCAUCCAUAAAAAACAUUAUAAUGAUUCACAUAUCAAAGUGUGGGUGGUAAAGAUAUGGAACUUUAUAAAGAAUAAUUUAGUUUUAUCAAUUGAAAUGAUCCUAAUGGAUGAGGAGGUUUGUUGUAGUAUCUUUUUAAUAUAUCAUUCAAUAUUUCAUAUGUUUCAACCAAUAAUAUAAUUGUUAUUUAUUUGAUUUAACAGGAUACAAAAAAGCAUUCUCGUGUUUUCAAUCAAAAAAUUUCCAGAUUUGGUGAACUUUUAAAGAAAUGUCAAACUUAUAUCAUUAUAAAACACAACAUGACGACUGUGAAUAAUUGUUUUAGUGAUACGGGUAAUAAACAAACCAUAACUUUGAAUUGGAAAUCCAUUCUAAAAAAAUGUGAGGAUUUUUCAUGUCCGGUGAAUAGAUUUGUGUUUGUUGAAUUUAAUUCUAUUAUCGAAUGAACAUUCCCAAGAGACUCAAUCUUUGGUUAGUUAUUUAAUUUCAUUUCAAUCACUUUUAUAACUUGUGUAAUUUAUUAUACAUGUUAGUAUUUUAACUUAAUCUUACUUAUUGUAUUUCAUUAAACUUGUGUAGAUGUUAUUGGACAAAAUUUCUCAUUUCAGGCACUCGAGACAUCAAAUCCUAACCCAUCGGAGCAUUACAUAAAGAUGAAUAUUAGCAACCUACAGCUAGAUUAUAUAUUUUAUUUAUUUAUUUAUUAUUUGUAAUCACAUUUUUUCCGAAUUAACUAAUUUUGUUUUUUAUUUUCGUCUGUACACCUAAAGGUCACUAUAUUUGGAACUCAAGCAUACCAGAUAUCACAAUACCUCAAAACUAACCCCACAGUUACUUUAUUUAUUAAAAAGAUUGGAAUAAAAUUAAAUAACACAAGUAACCGUGGGGUUGGUUUUGAGGUACGGUGACAUCUGGUAUGCUUGAGUUCCAAAUAUAGUGACCUUCAUGUGUACAGACCUAAAUAAAAAAUGAAAUUAGUUAGUACGGAAACAAUGUGAUUAAAAAUAAUAAAUGAAUAAAAGAAAUAUAAUCUAACUGUAGGUUGGUAAUAUUCAUCUUUAUGUAAUGCUUGGAUGAGUUACGAUUUGAUGUUAAGUGCCUGAAAUGAGAAAAUUUGUCCAAUAACAUCUACACAAGUAAGAUUAAGUUAAAUAGUAACAUGUAUAAUUAAUUACACAAGUUAGAUUUGAGGAACUUUAUAAAGAAUAAAAUUAAAAAACAUUGAACUGAUUGAUUAUGAUUCAUAUAUCAAAGUGCGGGUGGUACAGUUAAGUGCCUCAAAUCUAACCCCACAGUUACUUGUUUUAUAAAAAUGAUUGGAUUAAAAUUAAAUAACACAAGUAACUGUGGGGUUGGUUUUGAGGUACGGUGACAUCUGGUAUGCUUGAGUUCCAAAUACAGUGAUGUUCAUUUGUACAAACCUAAAUAAAAAAUGAAUUUCGUUUGUACGGAAACAAUGUGAUUAAAAAUAAUAAAUAAAUAAAAGAAAUAUAAUCUAAUUGUAGCUUGCUAAUAUUCAUCUUUAUGUAAUGUUUGGAUGGGUUAGGAUUUGAUGUUAAGUGUCUGAAAUGAGAAAAUUUGUCCAAUAACAUCUACACAAAUUUAAUAAAAUAUAAUAAGUAAGACGAAGUUAAAUACUAACAUGUAUAAUAAAUUUCACAAGUUAUAAAAGUGAUUGGAAUAAAAUUAAAUAACUAACCAAAUAAUGAGUCUCUUGGGCAUGUUCGUUCGAUACUAGAAUUAAAAUCAACAAACACAAAAUCCAUUCGCCGGACCUGAAAAAUCCUCACAUUUUUUUAGAAUAGGUUUCCAAUUCAAAGUUAUGGUUUGUUUAUGACCCGUAUCACUAAAACCAUUAUUCACAGCCGCCAUGUUGGGUUUAUAAUGAUAUAAGUUUGACAUCCCUUUAAAAGAUCACGAAAUCUGGAAAUUUUUUGAUUGAAAACACGAGAAUGCUUUUAUGUAUCCUGUUAAAUCAAAUAAAUAAAAAUUAUAUUAUUGGUUGAAACAUAUGCAAUAUUGAAUAAGAUAUUAAAAAGAUACUACAACAAACUUCCUCAUCCAUUAGGAUCAUUUCAAUCGAUAAAACUAAAUUAUUCUUUAUAAAGUUUUACAUCUUUAGCACCCGCACUUUGAUAUGUGAAUCAUAAUCAUUCUGUUCAAUGUUUUUUAGGGUAUACUUUACUACCUAUAUUCAUGUCCUGCAAACAAUUGAAAUCAUAUUGAAAUUGAAAGUUAAUUGUAUAUUACAUUGUUAAAAGAAAUAAAAUGUCGAAUUUCAGUCUAAUAAUUUGGAAAAUAGGAUCCUACUUAAAAAUUAAAAUUACACCCAUCUUUGACUUUCAUAUGAGAUUUUAUACCUUUAGUUAUCAUCAUUAUUUUUAUCCACAUUAACCAAACGAUGCAUCCAUAAAAAACAUUGAACUGAUUGAUUAUGAUUCACAUAUCAAAGUGCGGGUGGUAAAUAUGUAAAACUUUAUAAAGAAUAAUUUAGUUUUAUCAAUUGAAAUGAUCAUAAUGGAUGAAGAGGUUUGAUGUACUAUCUUUUUAAUAUCUCAUUCAAUAUUACAUAUGUUUCAACCAAUAAUAUAAUUGUUAUUUAUUUGAUUUAACAGGGUACAAUAAAACAUUCUCGUGCUUUCAAUCAAAAAAUUUCCAGAUUUGGUGAUCUUUUAAAGGAAUGUCAAACUUAUAUCAUUAUAAAACCCAACAUGGCGACUAUGAAUAAUUGUUUUAGUGAUACGGGUCAUAAACAAACCAUAACUUUUAAUUGGAAACUUAUUCUAAAAAAAAUAUUUGGAUUUUUCAGGUCCAGUGAAUGGAUUUGUGUUUGUUGAUUUUAAUUCUAUUGUCGAACAAACAUGCCCAAGAGACUCAUUCUUUGGUUAGUUAUUUAAUUUUAUUUCAAUCACUUUUAUAACUUGUGAAAUUUAUUAUACAUGUUAGUAUUGAACUUAAUCUUACUUAUUAUAUUUUAUUAAAUUUGUGUAGAUGUUAUUGGACAAAUUUUCUCAUUUCAGACACUUGAAACAACAAAUCCUAACCCAUCCAAUCAUUACAUAAAGAUGAAUAUUAGCAAUCUACAGUUAGAUUAUAUUUAUUUAUUAUUUGUAAUCACAUUUUAUCUGUACUAACUAAUUUCAUUUUUUAUUUAGGUUUGUAGACCUGAAGGUCACUAUAUUUGGAACUCAAGCAUACCGGAUAUCACAAUACCUCAAAUCUAACCCCAUAGUUACUUGUUUUAUAAAAGUAAUUGGAAUAAAAUUAUUUAACACAAGUAACCGUGGGGUUGGUUUUGAGGUACAGUGACAUCCGGUAUGCUUGAAUUCCAAAUAUAGUGACCUUUAUGUAUACAGACCUAAAUCAAAAAUGAAAUUAGUUAGUACUGAAACAAUGUGAUUAAAAAUAAUAAAUAAAUAAAAGAAAUAUAAUCUAACUGUAGGUUGCUAAUAUUCAUCUUUAUGUAAUGUUUGGAUGGGUUAGGAUUUGAUGUUAAGUGCCUGAAAUGAGAAAAUUUGUCCAAUAACAUCUACACAAGUUUAAUAUAAUAUAAUAAGUAAGAUUUAGUUAAAUAUUAACAUGUAUAAUAAAUUUCACAACUUAUAAAAGUGAUUGGAAUAAAAUUAAAUAACUAACCAAAGAAUGAGUCUUUCGGCAUGUUUGUUCGAUAAUAGAAUUAAAAUUAACAAACACAAAAUCCAUUCGCCGGACCUGAAAAAUCCUCAUAUUUUUUUAGAAUAGGUUUCUAAUUCAAAGUUAUGGUUUGUUUAUUACCCGUAUCACUAAAACCAUUAUUCACAGCCGCCAUGUUGGGUUUUAUAAUGAUAUAUGUUUGAUAUUCUUUAAAAGAUCACCAAAUCUGGAAAUUUUUUGAUUGAAAACACAAGAAUGCGUUUUUAUACCCUGUUAAAUCAAAUAAAUAACAAUUAUAUUACUGGUUGAAACAUAUGUAAUAUUGAAUGAGAUAUUAAAAAAAUACUGCAACAAACCUCCUCAUCCAUUAUUAGGAUCAUUUCAAUCGAUAAAACUAAAUUAUUCUUUAUAAAGUUCCACAUCUUUACCACCAGCAGUUUUAUAUGUGAAUUAUCAUCAAUAUGUUCAAUGUUUUUUAAGGUAUACUUUACUACUUAUAUUCAUUUCCUGCAAAUAGGCCUGACAAUGGAGCGGGUUUUGACCAUGAUCCGAUCCAAACCCUUAACAAUUAUUUGGGUUUGGAGCAUAGUUUUUGAUCCGUUUACCCGUUAACGACCCGUACCCGCUAACCCUUUUAUUAAAAGGGUCGGGUAUGGAUCAUCACCGAUCCGCUCCGUUUAUAACCUGCCCCAUAUAAAUUUUAGAAAUAUAAAUUUUAUAUUUUAUAUUGCCUAAAGUUUACAUUAAAUUCCAAUCAGAAGUCCAAAGAAAAAAGGCCAAAGCCUAAAUUGUUUUUACAUAGGUCUCUAGUACUCAACUUCUAGAUUUCCAGUCUUAUCCCAAGAGUCAUGAUUUCAUUUCAUUUAUAUUUCAUCAUGUAAUCACAAAUUUCAUUUAUAAAUCAAUAAGGUCAUUUAUCAACCGGAAGAAAGUUUGUAAUUGCUAUUCUCUAUCAUUGCAAUCGACGAUCAAAAACCAAUCGGAAGUUACUAAAAUAAUGAUUUUAAUUCCAAUAGAAAGUCCUCGAGUACAUAAUGUGUUUUCUAAAUCAAUACUUAGUUUUACUUAAUAAAUGUAAUUUUAUGAUUGAAGUAAAAUGUGUUUGAUUAUUCAAAAAAUCUACGGGUUACGGGCCGGGUUUGGAUAUCUGUUGAUUCGGUGGAUAAGGGUAUGGGUUUGAAUAUUCAAAACCCUACGGGUUAUGGAGCGGGUUUGGAUCGGAUUUUGAAAUUUGUUAAAAGGGUUUGGAUCAAGGUCGAUUCGCUCCAAGCCUGCCCCAUUGCCACGUCUACCUGCAAACCAAUGAAAGCAUAUUGAAAUUGAAAGUUAAGUAUAUAUUCCAUUGUUAAAGAAAUAAAAUUUCGAGUUUCGGUUUAAUAAUUUGGAAAAUAGGAUCCUACUUAAAAUUACACCCAUCUUUGACUUUCAUAUGAGAUUUUAUACCUUUACUUAUUAUUGUUAUUUUUAUCCACAUUGACAAAACGAUGCAUCCAUAAAAAACAUUGAACACAUUGAUUAUGAUUCACAUAUCAAAGUGCGAGUGGUAAACAUGUGAAACUUUAUAAAGAAUAAUUUAAUUUUAUCAAUUGAAACGAUCAAUGAAUGAGGAGGUUUGUUGUAGUAUCUUUUUAAUAUCUCAUUCAAUAUCACAUAUGUUUCAAGCAAAUAAUACAAUUGUUAUAUAUUUGAUUUAAGAGGGUACAAAAAAACAUUCUCGUGCUUUCAAUCAAAAAUUUCCAGAUUUGGUGAUCUUUUAAAGGAAUGUCAAACUUAUAAUAUUAUAAAACCCAACGUGGCGGCUGUGAAUAAUGGUUUUAGUGCUACGGGUAAUAACCAAACCAUAACUUUGAAUUGGAAAGCUAUUCUACAAAAAAUAUGUGGAUUUUUCAGGUCCGGUGAAUGGAUUUGUGUUUGUUUAUUUUAUUUCUAUUAUCGAACAAACAUGCCCAAGAGACUCAUUCUUUGGUUAGUUAUUUAAUUUUAUUCCAAUCACUUUUAUAACUUGUUUAAUUUAUUAUACAUGUUAGUAUUUAACUUAAUCUUACUUAUUAUAUCUUAUUAAACUUGUGUAACUGUUAUUAGACAAAUUUUCUCAUUUCAGGCACUUGAAACAACAAAUCCUAACCCAUCCAAACAUUACAAGAAGAUGAAUAUUAGCAACUUACAGUUAGAUUAUAUUAUUUAUUUAUUUAUUUAUUAUUUGUAAGCACAUUUUUUCCGAACUAACUAAUUUCGUUUUCUAUUUUUGUCUGUACACCUGAAGGUCACUAUAUAUGGAACUCAAGCAUACCAGAUAUCACAAUACCUCAAAACUAACCCCACAGUUACUUGUUUUAUAUUAAGUGAUUGGAAUAAAAUUAUUUAACACAAGUAACCGUGGGGUUGGUUUUGAGGUACAGUGACAUCCGGUAUGCUUGAAUUCCAAAUAUAGUGACCUUUAUGUGUACAGACCUAAAUCAAAAAUGAAAUUAGUUAGUACUGAAACAAUGUGAUUAAAAAUAAUAAAUAAAUAAAAGAAAUAUAAUCUAAUUCUAGGUUGCUAAUAUUCAUCUUUAUGUAAUGUUUGGAUGGGUUAGGAUUUGAUGUUAAGUGCCUGAAAUGAGAAAAUUUGUCCAAUAACAUCUAUACAAGUUUAAUAAAAUAUAAUAAGUAAGAUUAAGUUAAAUACUAACAUGUAUAAUAAAUUUCACAACUUAUAAAAGUGAUUGGAAUACAAUUAAAUAACUAACCAAAGAAUGAGUCUUUCGGCAUGUUCGUUCGAUACUAGAAUUAAAAUCAACAAACACAAAAUCUAUUCGCCGGACCUGAAAAAUCCUCAUAUUUUUUUAGAAUAGGUUUCCAAUUCAAAGUUAUGGUUUGUUUAUUACCCGUAUCACUAAAACCAUUAUUCACAGCCGCCAUGUUGGGUUUUAUAAUGAUAUAAGUUUGACAUCCCUUUAAAAGAUCACGAAAUCUGGAAAUUUUUUGAUUGAAAACACGAGAAUGUUUUUUUGUAUCCUGUUAAAUCAAAUAAAUAACAUUUAUAUUAUUGGUUGAAACAUAUGUAAUAUUGAAUGAGAUAUUAAAAAGAUACUACAACAAACCUCCUCAUCUAUCAGGAUCAUUUCAAUCGAUAAAACUAAAUUAUUCUUUAUAAAGUUUCACAUUUUUACCACCCCACUUUGAUAUGUGAAUCAUAAUCAUUCUGUUCAAUGUUUUUUAGGGUAUAUUUUACUACCUAUAUUCAUUUCCUGCAAAC
rnacentral:lncRNA from 1 species